rnacentral:pre_miRNA from 11 species
ACAUACUUCUUCAUAUGCCCAUAUGGAGUCGGCCAGAUUUAUGGAAUGUUAAGAAGUAUGUAUC